rnacentral:tRNA from 1 species
GCGCAGCUGGUGAAAUGGCAGACACGCAGGACUUAGGAUCCUGUGCCGCAAGGCGUGAGGGUUCAAGUCCCUCGCUGCGCACCA